rnacentral:rRNA from 1 species
CCUACGGGCGGCAGCAGUGAGGAAUAUUGGUCAAUGGGCGCGAGCCUUAACCAGCCAAGUAGCGUGAAGGAUGACUGCCCUACGGGUUGUAAACUUCUUUUAUAAAGGAAUAAAGUGAGGCACGUGUGCCUUUUUGUAUGUACUUUAUGAAUAAGGAUCGGCUAACUCCGUUCCAGCAGCCUCGGUAAUACGGAGGAUCCGAGCGUUAUCCGGAUUUAUUGGGUUUAAAGGGAGCGUAGAUGGGUUGUUAAGUCAGUGGUGAAAGUUUGCGGCUCAACCGUAAAAUUGCAAUUGAGACUGGCAGCCUUGAGUACAGUUGAGGUAGGCUGAAUGCGUGGUGUAGCGGUGAAAUGCUUAGAUAUCACGAAGAACUCCGAUUGCGAAGGCAGCUUACUAAACUGCCACUGACAUUGAUGCUCGAAAGUGUGGGUAUCAAACAGGAUUAGAUACCCGUGUAGUC